rnacentral:rRNA from 1 species
ACCCCUACGGGAGGCAGCAGUGAGGAAUAUUGGACAAUGGGCGGGAGCCUGAUCCAGCCAUGCCGCGUGCAGGAAGACUGCCCUAUGGGUUGUAAACUGCUUUUAUACGGGAAUAAAUGCCCUACGUGUAGGGAGUUGCAUGUACCGUAUGAAUAAGCACCGGCUAACUCCGUGCCAGCAGCCGCGGUAA